GACGAACGCUGGCGGCGUGCUUAACACAUGCGAGUCGAACGGAAAGGCCCUGCUUUUGUGGGGUGCUCGAGUGGCGAACGGGUGAGUAACACGUGAGUAACCUGCCCUUGACUUUGGGAUAACUUCAGGAAACUGGGGCUAAUACCGGAUAGGAGCUCCUGCUGCAUGGUGGGGGUUGGAAAGUUUCGGCGGUUGGGGAUGGACUCGCGGCUUAUCAGCUUGUUGGUGGGGUAGUGGCUUACCAAGGCUUUGACGGGUAGCCGGCCUGGGAGGGUGGCCGGCCACAUUGGGACUGAGAUACGGCCCAGACUCCUACGGGAGGCAGCAGUGGGGAAUAUUGCACAAUGGGCGGAAGCCUGAUGCAGCAACGCCGCGUGCGGGAUGACGGCCUUCGGGUUGUAAACCGCUUUCGCCUGUGACGAAGCGUGAGUGACGGUAAUGGGUAAAGAAGCACCGGCUAACUACGUG
rnacentral:rRNA from 1 species